rnacentral:rRNA from 1 species
GAGUUUGAUCCUGGCUCAGGACGAACGCUGGCGGCGCGCCUAACACACGCAAGUCGAACGAGCGAGAGAGAGCUUGCUUUCUCAAGCGAGUGGCGAACGGGUGAGUAACGCGUGAGGAACCUGCCUCAAAGAGGGGGACAACAGUUGGAAACGACUGCUAAUACCGCAUAAGCCCACAGCUCGGCAUCGAGCAGAGGGAAAAGGAGCAAUCCGCUUUGAGAUGGCCUCGCGUCCGAUUAGCUAGUUGGUGAGGUAAUGGCCCACCAAGGCGACGAUCGGUAGCCGGACUGAGAGGUUGAACGGCCACAUUGGGACUGAGACACGGCCCAGACUCCUACGGGAGGCAGCAGUGGGGAAUAUUGCACAAUGGGGGAAACCCUGAUGCAGCGACGCCGCGUGGAGGAAGAAGGUCUUCGGAUUGUAAACUCCUGUUGUUGAGGAAGAUAAUGACGGUACUCAACAAGGAAGUGACGGCUAACUACGUGCCAGCAGCCGCGGUAAAACGUACGUCACAAGCGUUGUCCGGAAUUACUGGGUGUAAAGGGAGCGCAGGCGGCAAGACAAGUUGGACGUGAAAUCUAUGGGCUCAACCCAUAAACUGCUUUCAAAACUGGUUUUCUUGGGUAGUGCAGAGUAAGGCGGAUUCCCGGUGUAGCGGUGGAAUGCGUAGAUAUCGGGAGGAACACCAGUGGCGAAGGCGGCCUACUGGGCACCAACUGACGCUGAGGCUCGAAAGUGUGGGUAGCAAACAGGAUUAGAUACCCUGGUAGUCCACACCGUAAACGAUGAUUACUAGGUGUUGGAGGAUUGACCCCUUCAGUGCCGCAGUUAACACAAUAAGUAAUCCACCUGGGGAGUACGACCGCAAGGUUGAAACUCCAAGGAAUUGACGGGGGCCCGCACAAGCAGUGGAGUAUGUGGUUUAAUUCGACGCAACGCGAAGAACCUUACCAAGUCUUGACAUCCUGCGACGCACAUAGAAAUAUGUGUUUCCUUCGGGACGCAGAGACAGGUGGUGCAUGGUUGUCGUCAGCUCGUGUCGUGAGAUGUUGGGUUAAGUCCCGCAACGAGCGCAACCCUUACUGUCAGUUACUACGCAAGAGGACUCUGGCAGGACUGCCGUUGACAAAACGGAGGAAGGUGGGGAUGACGUCAAAUCAUCAUGCCCUUUGUGACUUGGGCUACACACGUACUACAAUGGCGCUAAACAAAGAGAAGCAAGACCGCGAGGUGGAGCAAAACUCAGAAACAACGUCCCAGUUCGGACUGCAGGCUGCAACUCGCCUGCACGAAGUCGGAAUUGCUAGUAAUCGUGGAUCAGCAUGCCACGGUGAAUACGUUCCCGGGCCUUGUACACACGGCCCGUC